rnacentral:tRNA from 1 species
GGGGCCAUAGCUCAGGGGAGAGCGCCUGCUUUGCACGCAGGAGGUCAGGAGUUCGAUCCUCCUUGGCUCCACCA